CGUGUGGUUCUAUUUUGUUGGUUUCUAGGACCGCCGCAAUGAUUAAUAGGGACAGUCGGGGGCAUCAGUAUUCAAUUGUCAGAGGUGAAAUUCUUGGAUUUAUUGAAGACUAACUACUGCGAAAGCAUUUGCCAAGGAUGUUUUCAUUAAUCAGGAACGAAAGUUAGGGGAUCGAAGACGAUCAGAUACCGUCGUAGUCUUAACCAUAAACUAUGCCGAUUAGGGAUCGGACGGCGUUAUUUUUUGACCCGUUCGGCACCUUACGAUAAAUCAAAAUGUUUGGGCUCCUGGGGGAGUAUGGUCGCAAGGCUGAAGCUUAAAGAAAUUGACGGAAGGGCACCACCAGGGGUGGAGCCUGCGGCUUAAUUUGACUCAACACGGGGAAACUCACCAGGUCCGGACACGAUGAGGAUUGACAGAUUGAGAGCUCUUUCUUGAUUUCGUGGGUGGUGGUGCAUGGCCGUUCUUAGUUGGUGGAGUGAUUUGUCUGCUUAAUUGCGAUAACGAACGAGACCUUAACCUGCUAAAUAGCCCGUAUUGCUCUGGCAGUACGCCGGCUUCUUAGAGGGACUAUCGGCUCAAGCCGAUGGAAGUUUGAGGCAAUAACAGGUCUGUGAUGCCCUUAGAUGUUCUGGGCCGCACGCGCGCUACACUGACAGAGCCAGCGAGUACUCCCUUGGCCGGAAGGCCCGGGUAAUCUUGUUAAACUCUGUCGUGC
rnacentral:rRNA from 1 species